AUUGAACGCUGGCGGCAUGCCUUACACAUGCAAGUCGAACGGCAGCACGGGAGCAAUCCUGGUGGCGAGUGGCGAACGGGUGAGUAAAGUAUCGGAACGUGCCCAGUCGUGGGGGAUAACGUAGCGAAAGUUACGCUAAUACCGCAUACGAUCUAUGGAUGAAAGCGGGGGAUCGCAAGACCUUGCGCGAUUGGAGCGGCCGAUAUCAGAUUAGCUAGUUGGUGGGGUAAAGGCUCACCAAGCCGACGAUCUGUAGCUGGUCUGAGAGGACGACCAGCCACACUGGGACUGAGACACGGCCCAGACUCCCACGGGAGGCAGCAGUGGGGAAUUUUGGACAAUGGGCGCAAGCCUGAUCCAGCAAUGCCGCGUGCAGGAUGAAGGCCUUCGGGUUGUAAACUGCUUUUGUACGGAGCGAAAAGGCUUCCACUAAUACUGGGGGCUCAUGACGGUACCGUAAGAAUAAGCACCGGCUAACUACGUGCCAGCCGCCGCCGUAAGAC
rnacentral:rRNA from 1 species